AGAUGACAUAGAAAACAAAGAUGACGAAGGAAACAAGAGUGACGUAGGACAUUAACAAGGGUGACGUAAGCGAUAUUCUCAAGGUCAUCAGGAUCGAGCAAGAAAUGAUGAGUUGAAAUUUGAACAAGUUAGAAUUCAGAGACAGGAAGAAAGUGACUAUCAAAUCGACUGUUGGGUGACUGGAAUGGACUUGGUAAUUAGGUUGUUAGUGUAAGCAGGUUGUUAGUGCUGAAUUAACAGGGAGUUUUGAGAGUUGACAGGUCCAAGGAUAGGGGAUAUAGGUCUGAAUAGGUGGUUGUUAGUGCUGAAUUAAUAGGGAGCUUUGAGAGUUGACAGGUUAAUGGAUAGGAGUGAUGGAUAGGUUGUUCUUAGUGCUGAGUCAAUAGGGAGCUUUGAGAGUUGACAGGUUCAUGGAUAGGAGAGAGCUUUGGAGAGUUGACAGGUUCGUGGAUAGGAGAGAGCUUUGGAGAGUUGACAGGUUCAUGGAUAGGAGAGAGCUUUGGAGAGUUGACAGGUUCAUGGAUAGGAGAGAGCUUUGGAGAGUUGACAGGUUCAUGGAUAUGGGUGAUGGGUGGAAAUAGGUGUGUAGGCUUAAAGAGG